GAAAUGCCUUAUGAUCCUUGUCUCGUACAUCUAGGCCUCCAUUUCUUCACUGACUCCUCCGCCUUCAAUCACGAUUCGGCUGAAAUUUCUUUAAGAAAGGAAUACACUCGAAAUCCUUGAGAUUUCUCCUUCCAUCUUUGUUUGUGGCUGUUUUCACAUCUUGAAGGGGGGAUUUGGUCAGGAAAUCGUGAAGAGCAAACUGUGGAGCAAGACAUUGCAAGGGAGGGGGAGCCAGAUGCCUAGCCUUAGCUUAGAUGUGGAUGGGUCUUUCCUUUUUAUUUUAUGUUGAUGUUAAAACUAUGUGUGAUGCCCCCAAAUCCCCAUGCACGGACACGGGAAAAUCGAGACGUCCGGAUGAUAAUAACACGGGUCA